rnacentral:rRNA from 1 species
GUGUAAUGCGGCAGCUACCAUGCAGUCGUACGAGAAGGUUCUUUCGGGAACUGGAGAGUGGCGCACGGGUGAGUAACGCGUGGGGACCUACCUCUUAGUGGGGGAUAACGGUUGGAAACGACCGCUAAUACCGCAUACGCCCUUCGGGGGAAAGAUUUAUCGCUAAGAGAUGGACCCGCGUUGGAUUAGAUAGUUGGUGAGGUAACGGCUCACCAAGUCAGCGAUCCAUAGCUGGUUUGAGAGGAUGAUCAGCCACACUGGGACUGAGACACGGCCCAGACUCCUACGGGAGGCAGCAGUGGGGAAUAUUGGACAAUGGGCGCAAGCCUGAUCCAGCCAUGCCGCGUGAGUGAAGAAGGCCUUCGGGUUGUAAAGCUCUUUCAGAUGCGAAGAUGAUGACGGUAACAUCAGAAGAAGCCCCGGCUAAUUUCGUGCCAGCAGCCGCGGUAAUACGAAAGGGGCAAGCGUUGUUCGGAUUUACUGGGCGUAAAGGGCACGCAGGCGGUCCUGC